CCUACGGGAGGCCGCAGUGGGGAAUAUUGCACAAUGGGGGAAACCCUGAUGCAGCGACGCCGCGUGAGUGAAGAAGUAUUUCGGUAUGUAAAGCUCUAUCAGCAGGGAAGAAAAAAGACGGUACCUGACUAAGAAGCCCCGGCUAACUACGUGCCAGCAGCCGCGGUAAUACGUAGGGGGCAAGCGUUAGCCGGAUUUACUGGGGGUAAAGGGAGCGUAGGCGGUAUGUCAAGUCUGAAGUGAAAGCCCAGGGCUUAACCCUGGGACUGCUUUGGAAACUGGUCGACUAGAGUGCUGUAGAGGUAAGUGGAAUUCCUAGUGUAGCGGUGAAAUGCGUAGAGAUUAGGAGGAAUACCAGUGGCGAAGGCGGCUUACUGGACAGUAACUGACGUUGAGGUUCGAAAGCGUGGGGAGCAAACAGGAUUAGAUACCCUUGUAGUC
rnacentral:rRNA from 1 species